GACGAACGCUGGCGGCGUGCUUAACACAUGCAAGUCGAACGGUGAACCGGGCUUCGGCCCGGGGAUCAGUGGCGAACGGGUGCGUAACACGUGGGCAACCUGCCCCAGACACUGGGAUAACUCCGGGAAACCGGGGCUAAUACCGGAUACUCCGGUCGAACCGCAUGGUUCGAUCGGGAAAGCUCCGACGGUCUGGGAUGGGCCCGCGGCCUAUCAGCUAGUUGGUGAGGUAAGAGCCCACCAAGGCUAUGACGGGUAGCUGGUCUGAGAGGACGACCAGCCACACUGGGACUGAGACACGGCCCAGACUCCUACGGGAGGCUG
rnacentral:rRNA from 1 species